GAUGGGGUAGAUGUUGGGGUCGGCCAACUCAAAGCUCUGGACCUGGGCCUGAGCUAGUCAGGCUGCCUGCUCUCCCACACCCACCACAGGGCGAGCUCUGCAGCACUGGCUUCCCUAGCUCACCAGUGCCGAAGCUGGCAGAGGAAAGAACCACCCACACCCAUGUCAGCAGGGCCAGCUCCAUUGUUCUACCCAGGGGAGGUGCAGGGCCUGCUCUCUCAAGUGCUGUAGGUAGCAGGAGGUGAGGAGGGAGGAGGCCAUCUCUUCUUUACACAAAUGGUGGCCGUUCUUAUUCAAACCUCCACACAUAGGAAGAAUAUCUUGACAGAAGUAUAUGGUGAGCUCAAACUACUCACUUGGUCAUGAGUCAGGAUGAGAAAACGGAAGGAAAGAAAGAAGGGCUGAGUGCCCACUGGGUACUGUGAUGCUCUUAGCACUGCCUUCUUAAAGUACCCAGCUAGGGACAAGACCUUAAAUACACAGGCCUUUGGGGGACACUUAUCCGAAUUAUAGCAAUGUAUAGUCUCUCUGGGCUUCAAAUAAACAGAUCCUUUGUUUUUAAUGAAUUCUAUAAAAUUCUAUAGAAAGACUAAGUGGACCUCAUAUUGAACAAUGCCAUUGAGAAUUCCUAACUCUCCUUAUCAGUUAACAUGUAUCUUGUAGCUGUCAAUCAUUUCCCUAUUCUUUUCAGUUCCACUGACUUUGAAGUUGAGGAAGGAGGAUCACAAGCUCAAGCCCAGACUGGGCAUCUUGGGGGUGGUUCAAGAUGUAGCUCAAUGAUCCUGGUUCAGUACUCAAGUAGACUUUCACGCUGGUGAUUGGCAAGGAACCUCAGAGAGAGGUGGGGCCAGCUGCAAAGAACUCUGGGAGGCCGGAGAUGAAUGGCCGCACAGAUUCCACAGAGAGGGUCUGCGCGCUGGCAGCUGGUGGCCAAAGGCUGCCGUCUGGCCAGGAAGGAAGGCCACUGGGCAAGCCCCGGUCUCCAGGUACCCCCUGGUAUCUUGGCUCCCUGCACCUCCCAGGAUGAGGCAGCUGCUGCCACUUCUCUUGCCAGGAGGUCAGAGCCAGGCUCCCCCAAAGCCAGUGACAUGUUCUCACGCCCUCCAGCCCUGCAGCUCGUCCCUUGCCGGAGACUCUGAACAGAAGCUCUGUGAGCGGUCUGUGUGCCUCUGUGACUAGCAGAAACUGUGAUAUAAAGACAUUGCUUCCCUCACACUGGAAGUCCCAGGGUACUAACCUCGCCGUGUUCAGCUGUCUUUGGGCCAAAUGCACUUUGUCAGUCUUUACUCACAGACGCCAGAUGUGGGAAAG